rnacentral:rRNA from 1 species
GACGAACGCUGGCGGCAUGCCUAACACAUGCAAGUCGAACGAGAAGUCCGGGUCUUUGGGCGCACGGCUGCGUCACGCGUGGGAACCUUCACUUGGGUACGGAAUAACUCCCCGAAAGGGGUGCUAAUGCCGGAUAGUGUCUUAUGACCAAAGAUUUAUUGCCCUUGGAUGGGCGCUCGUUGGAUUCGCUAGUUGGUAGGGUAAUAGCCUAGCACGGCGACGAUCCAUAGGUGGUCAGAGAGAAUGAUUAGCCACUCUGGGACUAAGACACGGCCCAGAAUCCUACGCGAGGGAGGAGAGGGUAACAGUGGACCAUGGCGGGAGGGAUGAUCCAGCAAUGCCGGGUAAGUGAUGAUGGCCGUAGGGUACUAAAGUGCUUUUACCCGUGAUGAUAAUGACGGUACCGGGUGAAUAAGCCCCGGCUAACUACGUG